rnacentral:rRNA from 1 species
UGGGGAAUUUUGGACAAUGGGCGAAAGCCUGAUCCAGCAAUGCCGCGUGUGUGAAAAAGGCCUUCGGGUUGUAAAGCACUUUUGUCCGGAAAGAAAUCCUCUGGGUUAAUACCUCGGGGGGAUGACGGUACCGGAAGAAUAAGCACCGGCUAACUACGUGCCAGCAGCCGCGGUAAUACGUAGGGUGCAAGCGUUAAUCGGAAUUACUGGGCGUAAAGCGUGCGCAGGCGGUUUUGUAAGACGGAUGUGAAAUCCCCGGGCUUAACCUGGGAACUGCAUUCGUGACUGCAAGGCUAGAGUAUGGCAGAGGGGGGUAGAAUUCCACGUGUAGCAGUGAAAUGCGUAGAGAUGUGGAGGAAUACCGAUGGCGAAGGCAGCCCCCUGGGCCAAUACUGACGCUCAUGCACGAAAGCGUGGGGAGCAAACAGGAUUAGAUACCCUGGUAGUCCACGCCCUAAACGAUGUCAACUAGUUGUUGGGGAUUCAUUUCCUUAGUAACGUAGCUAACGCGUGAAGUUGACCGCCU